CCACUACUCAGUUGGUAGAGCACAAGGCUUUUAACCUUAUGGACGUGGAUUCGAGCCCCAUGGUGGG
rnacentral:tRNA from 1 species